rnacentral:lncRNA from 1 species
UUUCGCCCUGGUCAGGCACCGCCCGGAGCACCUGCGGGCUGGACUUUGUCGACAUCCUGCCUCCCUCACUCCACGGGGGCUCACCCGGGAGGGCUCCCACACGACGUCCCGCAGCCCCUCGUCCGUCUCAGGGACGGCGGCCAGAGGACUGGCCCAGGAGGGGAACCAGCCAUCCCGGGCCUCAGUGGGGGCCGGCAUCCGGGCAGUGCCUCGGGCCGGCUGGAGGGAGGGGGUGGGGACAGGGAAGGACGUGCCCAAGGCCGAGGCACCCCAGGGGCUGCCCCGGGAGCUGGCUUUGCCCUGAUCCCACCCUCCACUGAGCAUGAAGAAGGACGAUGGCUCACGGUCAGCCUCUGCCUCUGGUGCUCUCGGGUUGACCUUGAAUUUCUUCCCACAACUCAGUCUGGGCGCCUGGUUUCCGCUUCCUGCUGCUUCCUGUGCUCUGGACGGACGGUGCUGACACCGGCUGGGACCAGGUCCUUGUCUGCUUGGCAGCGGGGUGGACGAGGGCCCGGGUCCUGGGCUCUGGGGGCUGCCUGCCUCGGUUUCCCACUCUGAGUCGGGUAUCGUCGCUGGUCCUGAGCAAGGCUCGCUCGGUCCAGACACAGCCCGGGCCCUCGGCAGCCGGGCCCAGCGCUCCUCAAGGGGGAACGUGCUCUGAGGGCCCCGGGGAGCUCGUGAAAUUCAGGUGCUGAUUCAGUGGAUGUGCGAGUACCCGGCGGCGGCCGUGACCCAUCACGCGUUCCUAAACAGAGCUCUCUAUUGACGUCAAAAGCCGGCCAUCCGGAGCUCCCUCUGUGGCUUAGCAGUAAUGAAUCCGACUAGCAUCCGUGAGGAUGUGAGUUUGAUCCCUGGCCUUGUUCAGAGGGUUAAGGACCCGUGAGCUGUGGUGCAUGUCUCAGAUGCGUUGGAUCCUGCAUUGCUGGGUUGUGAUGCAGGCCGGCAGCGGCAGCUCCCAUUUAAUGCCUAGCCUGGGAACUUCCAUAUGCCAUGGGUGAGGCCCUAAAAAGCCAAAAAAAAAAAAAAAAAAAAAA